GACGUAGGGCGCGAGCGUUGUCCGGAUUUAUUGGGCGUAAAGAGCUCGUAGGCGGCUUGUCGCGUCGAAUGUGAAAUCUCAGGGCUCAACUCUGACAUUGCAUUCGAUACGGGCAGGCUAGAGUUCGGUAGGGGAGACUGGAAUUCCUGGUGUAGCGGUGAAAUGCGCAGAUAUCAGGAGGAACACCUGUGGCGAAGGCGGCCGACUGGGCCGACCCUGACGCUGAGGCGCGAAGGCGUGGGGAGCGAACGGG
rnacentral:rRNA from 1 species